UACGUAGGGGGCAAGCGUUGUCCGGAAUUAUUGGGCGUAAAGCGCGCGCAGGCGGCUAUUUAAGUCUGGUGUUUAAACCUUGGGCUCAACCUGAGGUCGCACUGGAAACUGGGUGGCUCGAGUACAGAAGAGGAAAGUGGAAUUCCACGUGUAGCGGUGAAAUGCGUAGAGAUGUGGAGGAACACCAGUGGCGAAGGCGACUUUCUGGGCUGUAACUGACGCUGAGGCGCGAAAGCGUGGGGAGCAAACAGG
rnacentral:rRNA from 1 species